AGCCCCGUAGUGUAGCGGCCAAGCAUAGGGGACUCUGGUAAUUAAAUUUGGAGUUAUCCCUUGACCCAGGUUCAAAUCCUGGCGGGGCUA
rnacentral:tRNA from 1 species